rnacentral:tRNA from 1 species
AAGACUUUAAGUUAAAUAAACUAAUAGCCUUCAAAGUUAUAAAUAUUAGUAAUAAAUCUAUUAAGCCUUA